CAAAAAAGAAAAUAAUGUAUACGGUGGAUGCCUUGGGUCUUUGUGUCGAUGAAGGACGUGAUAGGCUGCGAUAAGCCUCGAGGAGUUGCCAAUAAGCGUUAAUACUCGGGGAUGUCCGAAUGGGGAAACCCACUUAGAUAAAAUCUAUGUACUGA
rnacentral:ncRNA from 1 species